AAAAACAGACGUAUUUGGCAUAUAUAGACGACGGAUUUUCAACAGACGUCGUCUAAUAUAAGUAAUACAAGCGACAGUUUUUGAAAAAACCGUCGUGUAUAAGUAAUACAACGACGGUUUUUUCAUAAACCGUCGUGUAAUCGCCGUCGUAUGCCUAAAAAGGCGUCGUGUCUCAGUUUAUUUUCAAGAACCCAAAACCCAUUAAGAACACAACAUAUA
rnacentral:lncRNA from 1 species